rnacentral:rRNA from 1 species
AGUGAACGCUGGCGGUAGGCCUAACACAUGCAAGUCGAACGGCAGCACAGUAAGGGCUUGCUCUUACGGGUGGCGAGUGGCGGACGGGUGAGGAAUACAUCGGAAUCUACUUUUUCGUGGGGGAUAACGUAGGGAAACUUACGCUAAUACCGCAUACGACCUACGGGUGAAAGCAGGGGAUCUUCGGACCUUGCGCGAUUGAAUGAGCCGAUGUCGGAUUAGCUAGUUGGCGGGGUAAAGGCCCACCAAGGCGACGAUCCGUAGCUGGUCUGAGAGGAUGAUCAGCCACGCUGGAACUGAGACACGGUCCAGACUCCUACGGGAGGCAGCAGUGGGGAAUAUUGGACAAUGGGCGCAAGCCUGAUCCAGCCAUACCGCGUGGGUGAAGAAGGCCUUCGGGUUGUAAAGCCCUUUUGUUGGGAAAGAAAAGCAGCAGGUUAAUACCCCGCUGUUCUGACGGUACCCAAAGAAUAAGCACCGGCUAACUUCGUG